rnacentral:rRNA from 1 species
CCUACGGGUGGCAGCAGUGAGGAAUAUUGGUCAAUGGACGAGAGUCUGAACCAGCCAAGUAGCGUGAAGGAUGACUGCCCUAUGGGUUGUAAACUUCUUUUAUAUGGGAAUAAAAUGUUCCACGUGUGGGAUUUUGUAUGUACCAUAUGAAUAAGGAUCGGCUAACUCCGUGCCAGCAGCCGCAGUAAUACGGAGGAUCCGAGCGUUAUCCGGAUUUAUUGGGUUUAAAGGGAGCGUAGGUGGAUUGUUAAGUCAGUUGUGAAAGUUUGCGGCUCAACCGUAAAAUUGCAGUUGAAACUGGCAGUCUUGAGUACAGUAGAGGUGGGCGGAAUUCGUGGUGUAGCGGUGAAAUGCUUAGAUAUCACGAAGAACUCCGAUUGCGAAGACAGUUCACUGGACUGCAACUGACACUGAGGCUCGAAAGUGUGGGUAUCAAACAGGAUUAGAUACCCUUGUAGUC